UUCUGUGUCGCGUUCCCCUCGUCACGCAAGGCCAGUACCGUCUUCAAAAUGUUGUAGUUUGAGGUCGUCCAAUGUGAACAAGGUCAUUAAAAGAUUACACGUAAACACGGGGUUACUGAGCUGUUGCAAACUUGGCUUUUUUAGCUUGUGGUUGUGUAUUUAUUAUGGGGUCCAAAGGUACACAGUAGAGCAACGCACUGACCUUAGCGAGUGACAUAUGGCGCUGUUGUUUAUUGAAUUUAGUUUUAAUCAAAAGCGCCAUUUGGGAAGCAUUUACCUCCGUUUGAAGUCCUUCGCGUAGGGUUUAAGGUACGGGUCCAUUUGGAGGAGAGUGUCGAAUUUAGGAAUGGUAACAUUAUCCUCCCGAUCCGCCAUGGUUUCCAACUCGAGACUGAAGCAAUCGAGCACCGAGCCCUGUGCUUUCCCUCCCUCACUGUGUGUGAACAAAGAGCAGGAAUGUACUUGGUGGGUGACUUUUGUGGGACUGGCGGUGGCUGGAAGUGUGCCCGAGUCCGUCCUCCUAUCACGGCACCGGGCUGUGUUUACCUCCGGGAGGAGCCGAGUUGGAUCGAACACAGCCGAGUGCGACUGUGACGCCUGCAAAGCCGACAUGUCUGGCACUUGCACGUCAGAGGUGGCAGUGGUGUCGGUAUGUGCCACGCGAACAAACGCCCAUGCCCACAUUUAAAUGUGCAAAUCAUGUUGAAAUGAACCCGGCGCCUGAGAUCCCGAUCUCUGCAUGAUGAGCAAGGCAGCUGCCCAUCGCCAAAGUGUGGCCAAAACAGGCGCGGAGGGCCUCGCCCCGUUUGAGGAGAGAGUCGCUGCAAUCAUGGGUGACCCUAGUCUCUCAGGGCCCCCUGAUUACCCCACAAGUGCUGGCAUCACUGGUGUCACAUGCGCGGAGGUUUCGUCCGCCGUUCCUUUGCGUCUCCUCCGGCAUCCCCGGCGUCUCCGACGCAAUGACACUCCAACAAGCGGCUGCUGCUGCCCGCCCGACGGGCCGCGUCCUCACCCGUGCUGUGUUGGAGAUUGUAAGGGCAAUAGGCGGCAUAAAUGAUCGCCUUGAUCAAUUUGUAGGCCUCCUCGCAAAUAUCAGUGAUUCACUAUAUACACCGGUCAACGAGUGAAUUCCGAGCCCUUGCUUCUUUUACCUUGUUGAAAUCAAAUGUUGUCGGGCAUGAAUUGUUCAUCGGUGCUAAUUGUGCAUGUGCCUCUGAUGUGCAGAUUUAUGAUAACAGUUUCCCAGCAUCACCUCUAAGUGUCGCCAAAGCACCAAAAGCUGCAGAAAUGUGCGUACGCCCGCCAUGAAGUUGGCGUGAGGCACCGCACAUUUCCACGGCCAUUUCACUCUUGAUACAUCUUAACUUUGCCCUGGAAAAGAACGUACGCCACGUUUUUGUGCGUAAGCACCUUUUGUACAUGAGGCCCCAGGUCAAGAUGAUUGACAAAUUCUUCACCGAAAUGGAAUUUUGGCACUAGCUAACAGCUCUGUUUGUUUGCCGAAAGACAAAAUAGCAUCUUAACGAACGUCGGGAAUUAGUUUUGAUUCAAGGGAUUGUUGACGUUUCGUUUGGUGGAAUCAAUCAAAAAUCUCAACUUCUGCAGUUGACCCUUCUGUUUUGAUUUUUGACAAGAAACAAUGUUGUCAAAAUCCGACAAUUGUGGCUAAAACGUCCUCUCCUGGCCCCGUUUCUCUUACUGGUACUAUAUAGUUUUUUAAUUAUUUGGCUGAAACUAGUGAAUUUUCAAUGAAACUUUUUUUCAGUCAGUCUCAUCGAACCUAACAGACAUGUAAAUAUCAAAGACACUUUAGUACAAACCUAACAGGUUUUUGAAAACAACUAAGACUAUUUAGAGCCUUCAAUAAAUCUACCAUACGUUAACAACAAAGACAAUUUCUAGUCUUUUAGUAAUCCAAGACAAUUCAGUCUCCAGUGAAGGGAAUGUACUUCUUGUAAAGACAAUUUAGUCAUCAAAAUGAUUUUUUUCAUAAAAAUCCAAAACAAUUUGGAGGCUUCAAUGAACUUGAUAUUGUUUUUGUUUUGUUUUGUUUUGUUUUGUUUUGUUAACAUUAAAGAAAAGUCAGUCUUUACUGAACCUAAAAUAGUUUAGUCUUGGAAACAUGACGGCAAUUUAGUCAUCAAUGAACCGAACAUAGAUGUGUUUGGAAACAUUUUUUAUGGACCUAAAUAGUAUUUUGGAAACAUCAAGUACAAUUCCUGUUUCCGAUGAGUUUUGAUGUUGACGAAAUGUGUAUAUGAUGUUCAUUGUUGGCUCUAAAUUGUCUUUGCUGUUUAUUUAAAAACAUGAGGCUAAUUGAAGACUCGUAAUUGUCUUUGCUGUUUCGGUUGGUGUUUGUUACGUUCACUGUCAUUAUUCUUUACCGUAAUUCACUGCCAGCCCUUCCAGUUAACAUGGAUAUUUGACUUAAAAAGUCGUCAAUGGCAGUGAAUGAGUUAAGGUCUAUGUGAGGUUUAUUCGCAGACUUUAAUUGACUUUGAUGUUUACAAAACUAUGUUAGGUUCAUUGGGGAUUGUAUGUUAGGUGAAUUUUGAGGCAUUCAUUGUCUGAUGUUUACAAAAACAUUGAAUACUCAAAUGGCUUUGUUGUUCAUAAAUAUGUGUUAUGUUCAUUGAAGAAUCAAUUAUUUUUUUGUUUGCAAAAACAUACAUGGUAGGUCACUUACCAUGUGUCUUUUUGGUAAAUGUCAGAAAAUUCAGUCUUCAAUGUGUUUUAUGUCAACAGCAAAGACGAUAUAUAGUCGACAAUGAAACUAAGAUACAGUACGUUUACGGCAAAACAGUGUGCAAAGAGCUUAAAUCAAUUUUUAUUUUUGCCUGAGUAAAAAAACAAAAAUGGAAACUAUGCUCCAACGGUGCGGUGCACACAUGCGCGCACGCGCACACACACUGUUCUUAUGCAUAUUUUGAUGCAGGCCUUUGUGCUUCACCUUGUUAGUCGCACAAGGAAUAGAGUCGUCUAAAAUUAGCUGCGCCGUUUGAGACCCAGCAGGUAGGUAGUGCCCCCGUACUAAUAGAUCCUGGAGGUGAAGUACCCAUUAGCUCCAAAGGCACAUUCACCUCUAAAACAGAUGUUUUUGUGCACAUUCAAAUGGCGUUAAUCGCAAAUGGUACUAAUGGAACACCUGUGCUAGUAAAAGGUAGAUUGUAAAACAAUAAAAACAGUAGCAAAAUACUGCAGUUUACAUGGUAACCAAGCCUUAUCAAUGCAGGCUGUGGAUAAAGCUAUGCGCUCAUUCGAUGGAGAACUUCGACUGUUGAGAAUAAAAAAUGUUAAUGGUCGAUUAAAGUUCAAGAAAAAAGUAUAGAAGCCAUUUUUUUUUUCGAUUUACCAACUGCAUUUCUACUUUUUAAAGCCCAAACAAAACUAGUCAACAAGUUUUGCUGUUCUCUUCCUGAAUCGAGUAUACACAUGCGCGGUAAGAAGACGGAAUAGUCCAUUGCAUGAGGAGGAAGGGGGAGAAUUUACAAUGAUCCUAGAUUAAACAUUUCGAUAUUUGAUUUUCAGUGCAGGAAUUAGGACUAAAACAAUCACAUUUGAGGAAAGCUAUCAGUUUUUAUUUAACUUUCAGGGGCCCCUGGAAAUAAGGCAUUAAUAAGCAUUGGCCUGUGUUUGCCUCAUGGUAUGUCUAACCCUGCACAUGAUCAAGAAUCAUACAGCGAUCAUCCGGAUUGUAAUGGAGGCCUUACUUGCUUGAAAUGCACACUUCUUUACAUGGCAUCACUUAUUUAUAUCACUUUUAGUUCACUUUAAUGCGAGCAAGGUCUGUAAUUGUGAGCACCUCAGUCAUCAUGUUUCCUUGAUCAAAUUUUAAUCCGUGUGUGAAUAAUGCAUUGCUGCGGCACAAUGAACUCCCAUCACAGAAUUUGACGGCGUUCUUCUAAAACCAAAACAUCGAGUUGCUCUUCUUUGGCAAACUUUGUUUUUAAACCGUUGUAAAACACAUAAAAUAAAAGGCUGCUAAUGGAAGCUAUGGGAAACGUUGUUGUGUUGACCGCAGCACAAGCACUGCAUCGCUCUGCAUUUGUUUGUUUUUUACGGCCGUCUUUUAGCGGUUUGAAAAGAGCGUCGGCGUCAUUAGUCAUUCUA